UCCGGCUUAUCACCGGCAGUCCCCUUAGAGUGCCCAACUGAAUGAUGGCAACUAAGGGCGAGGGUUGCGCUCGUUGCGGGACUUAACCCAACACCUCACGGCACGAGCUGACGACAGCCAUGCAGCACCUGUGCUGGCUACCCUUGCGGGUUCAUCCCCGUUUCCGGUUCUUACCACCAGCAUGUCAAACCUGGGUAAGGUUCUUCGCGUUGCGUCGAAUUAAACCACAUGCUCCGCCGCUUGUGCGGGCCCCCGUCAAUUCCUUUGAGUCUUAGCCUUGCGGCCGUACUCCCCAGGCGGUCAACUUCACGCGUUAGCUACGGUACUGAGAAAUCGCUUCCCCAACACCCAGUUGACAUCGUUUAGGGCGUGGACUAC
rnacentral:misc_RNA from 1 species